UUAGGUAUGUUGAUGAUGAAAUCCUGUAGGCAGCUGGAAAUGUGAUGGAACUGGGGAGCACGUUCGGGAACCCUCAGCAGGUGUUGAAGCCACGGAGUGUGGGAGAGCUUCCAGCCCCCCCGGUACAUAGUUGUAUAUUCUUCGUCGUGGGUCCUUCUAGUUGUGGUAUGUGGGAUGCCGCCUCAGCGUGGUUUGAUGAGCAGUGUCAUGUCCGCGCCCAGGAUUCGAACCAACGAAACACUGGGCCGCCUGCAGCGGAGUGCGCGAACUUAACCACUCGGCCACGGGGCCGGCCCCUCAAAUCAAACAAUUUAAAUCCACAUGUGAUGGAAGAAAACAGAUGUCUCAAGGUCUCCUGCAACAGGCGGUCCUCUGGAUGGAAGAUGCGAUCACUUCAGUCACUGAGAAAGGACUCCAUUAUAAGUGAAUUUACUUGCAGAUGUUCCAAGAAAUUUGUGUCACCAAGAAUCUGGUCUUCCCUGGGGAUGGGGCCUCCCAAAGUUGAGAAAGGUGUAGGCUACCGCCAUUUUCUGAGGUUCUGGGUAUAUUAAAAAUUGGACAAAUGUUAAAAGAUGGUUAUAAAACUUGUGGUAUAUUUUAAUUGUUUGCCUUGAACUAAUUGAUGCUUCUAACAUAUAAAAC
rnacentral:lncRNA from 1 species